rnacentral:lncRNA from 1 species
UCUUUAAAGAGAGAAAAUGAGGAGAGAGAACGCUAUAUUGAAAACAUAAGAGAGAAAAUGACAGACAUAGCAGUUUUGGUAGCAGAAGAAUAUGAAAGGAAGGUCAAAAUUUUAACAAAAAAUGGUGAAAACAUUGAUUUUUUCUCAUGUGUGGCAGUAUUGGGUCAGAGGAUUGAAGCUGGGUCUUCUUCUUGGAUGAAGAAAAAGCUUGAAGAGGAGAAAUUAAUGGAGUUUUUGCAGAUUAAAAGGUUUCUUUUGAAGCCCAAAAGCCAGAUGAGUCUGGCAGCUAGUAAUGGUUUCUUUUCUGCAUGAGAAGUUCCCUAUUUUUUUUCCCCUUCUAUCUAGCUGAGCAUGUGUCUAUACCUUAUAAGUUUAGUUAAAUAAAUAAUAUGACUUUAUAUUUAAAUGAAUAUAUUAU